rnacentral:rRNA from 1 species
CCCUCGAUGGGGGCAUGUGCACACUCUGUUUACACAUCCACUCACACCUGUGCACUCUCUGUAGUACUGUGGUCUGGGGGUUCUGUCCUCCUACUGUGGUUCUGCGUAUUUACACACACACUGUAAUAAAGUCUCAUGGAAUGUAUGUCGCGUUUAACGCAAUGAAAUACAACUUUCAGCAACGGAUCUCUUGGCUCUCGCAUCGAUGAAGAACGCAGCGAAAUGCGAUAAGUAAUGUGAAUUGCAGAAUUCAGUGAAUCAUCGAAUCUUUGAACGCACCUUGCGCCCUUUGGCUAUUCCGAAGGGCAUGCCUGUUUGAGUAUCAUGAACACCUCAACUCUCAUGGCUUGCCAUGAUGAGCUUGGACUUGGGGGUUUUGCUGGCCUGUGGUCAGCUCCCCUCAAAUGCAUCAGCUUUCCAGUGUUUGGUGGCACCACAGGUGUGAUAAACAUCUACACAUGUGGUUCCCCACCAUAUAACCUUCAGUGAUGGAGGUUCGCUGGAGCUCACAAAUGUCUUUCCUCAGUGAAGACAGUUCUUUGAUUGUUUGAUCUCAAUCAGGUAGGACUACCCGCUGAACUUAAGCAUAUCAUAAGCGGAG